GAUGAACGCUGGCGGCGUGCCUAAUACAUGCAAGUCGAACGAAACUUCUUUAUCACCGAGUGCUUGCACUCACCGAUAAAGAGUUGAGUGGCGAACGGGUGAGUAACACGUGGGCAACCUGCCCAAAAGAGGGGGAUAACACUUGGAAACAGGUGCUAAUACCGCAUAACCAUAGUUACCGCAUGGUAACUACGUAAAAGGUGGCUAUACUACCGCUUUUGGAUGGGCCCGCGGCGCAUUAGCUAGUUGGUAGGGUAAAGGCUUACCAAGGCAAUGAUGCGUAGCCGAAUUGAGAGGUUGAUCGGCCACAUUGGGACUGAGACACGGCCCAAACUCCUACGGGAGGCAGCAGUAGGGAAUCUUCCACAAUGGGCGAAAGCCUGAUGGAGCAACGCCGCGUGGGUGAAGAAGGUCUUCGGAUCGUAAAACCCUGUUGUUAGAGAAGAAAGUGCGUGAGAGUAACUGUUCACGUUUCGACGGUAUCUAACCAGAAAGCCACGGCUAACUACGUG
rnacentral:rRNA from 1 species